rfam:Myotis lucifugus cont2.29180, whole genome shotgun sequence.
GGUGGUUCUCAGGUGACACACCCUGGAAUAGGUCGCCCUCCUCUCUGGUUCUAGGUGUGUCACCCGAGAACCGCA